UGCUUCGCGUCAGGAGAGCGCCGCACGCUUGUGGGGCCGCCGAAGGCGUAAACCCGCAGGGGUGUACCGCUCAGGCAAAAGGACUGACCACACCGC
rnacentral:ncRNA from 2 species